rnacentral:rRNA from 1 species
CAGUCGCCGCGGGAAUACGUAGGUGGCGAGCGUUGUCCGGAAUUAUUGGGCGUAAAGGGAGCGCAGGCGGACAUAUAAGUCCAUCUUAAAAGUGCGGGGCUCAACCCCGUGAGGGGAUGGAAACUGUAUGCCUUGAGUGCAGGAGAGGAAAGCGGAAUUCCCAGUGUAGCGGUGAAAUGCGUAGAUAUUGGGAGGAACACCAGUGGCGAAGGCGGCUUUCUGGACUGCAACUGACGCUGAGGCUCGAAAGCCAGGGGAGCGAACGGGAUUAGAUACCCCUGUAGUCCCUGUCUCUUAUACC